UUCCCAAACCGAAACCGACGGGAUCUCCGACUUCAGUCUUCUUUCCUUCCUCGCCUCUCUCUCUUCCCAACUCCUCCCCCCUUAUAUGUUCAACUCCGACUCUCGACGCCUCAAUUCCGUUGGAUAGAGGGAAAAUGAGGUAAUUUUCAUUGAUCUUGGGCCGAUUUUGAAUAGGCGAUUUUGUCUCUCGUGUUCUCUCUCCUGCGACUGCAACGAUGACGACGGCGGCUCUCUUGAAGCCAUUGUCGCCGUGGAGUCCGGUAAGACUGUAAACCAACCCCGACUCUGGCAUGUUGAGGUUAAUUUGGAGAAACUCCAUUUGGGGAUGAUGUGGUACUCGACAGAGGAUUGUCAUUUCCUACCCUUGAAGCAAGGUUUCGAUUGCUAGAACUUGCAAUUGUAUAUACGCCUUGAUUCAACAGAGACAACGAUAUGUGGCAUUCAGAGAAUCUUCUAAAGAUCAGAGACAACGACUUUUAUCUGACAUGGUGAGACUUGAGGCAAAAGUUGAAAGGCUUGAGACUCAAUUGCAAGCCAAAGAGAGGGAACUUGGUUCUGUCACAAGAACAGAAGCUAAGAAUACAGCGGCUUUAAAGGCGCAGAACGAGAAGCUACAGAAAAGAGAGAGAUGAGUUUCAACAGAUGGUGAUUGCUAACCAGCAAUUCAAGACCCAACAGUUACAUGAAACGAAGAAGAAAGAAAAGGAGUAUAUAAAGUUACAGGAGAGGUUAAACCAAGUGUUGAUCGAGAAAAAGAAGGAAACGAGCUCAGGCAUGGAGAUUAUGAAUCUACUCCAGUCAUUUUCUAGCAUUAUGCUAUGCUUAUUAUGAUCUGUUGAGCAUUUUCAAGGAAAGAACUGGAAGAAAAUAGGACCUCCUAAUUGCGUUCUGAUAUGUAUUCUUUAGUUAGUAUGUUGAAAGUAAUGAUGAUUUACCUUUUCAGCUGAUUGAUUUAAGGAGCAGACUGAUGCCCUGUUUCUUUCUCAUUGAUGGCAAAAGGUCUUGAACCUGGAGCUUUUGAAAGGACCGUGGUCAAAAGAGGUAUUGUGCUCAUCACAAGCUGCUUGAUCUGACAAUAUUUGUAACAACCUCCCUCAUCUCUCUGUAUCUUUGGUUUGUUUGCAUUGACAAAGAAAUCAAAAGAAUAGUUUGUCACUUCAUUGUGUCACAAGUGAUGAGUUUUCAAAAAUUUAUGCUCUCCAAUGUUUGUGUUCGGUUAAGUUUUUCUUUGUCUAAGUUGUU